CUACGUGCCAGCAGCCGCGGUAAUACGUAGGGUGCGAGCGUUAAUCGGAAUUACUGGGCGUAAAGCGGGCGCAGACGGUUACUUAAGCAGGAUGUGAAAUCCCCGGGCUCAACCUGGGAACUGCGUUCUGAACUGGGUGACUAGAGUGUGUCAGAGGGAGGUAGAAUUCCACGUGUAGCAGUGAAAUGCGUAGAGAUGUGGAGGAAUACCGAUGGCGAAGGCAGCCUCCUGGGAUAACACUGACGUUCAUGCCCGAAAGCGUGGGUAGCAAACAGGAUUAGAUAUCCUGGUAGUCCACGCCCUAAACGAUGUCGAUUAGCUGUUGGGCAGCAUGACUGCUUAGUAGCGAAGCUAACGCGUGAAAUCGACCGCCUGGGGAGUACGGUCGCAAGAUUAAAACUCAAAGGAAUUGACGGGGACCCGCACAAGCGGUGGAUGAUGUGGAUUAAUUCGAUGCAACGCGAAGAACCUUACCKGUCUUGACAU
rnacentral:rRNA from 1 species